rnacentral:rRNA from 2 species
UCAAUUGCUAUUGGGGUCCGAUUUAGCCAUGCUAGUUGCACGAGCUUACACUCGUGGCGAAAAGCUCAGUAACACGUGGUCAAACUACCCUACAGAGAACGAUAACCUCGGGAAACUGAGGCUAAUAGUUCAUACGGGAGUCAUGCUUGAAUGCCGGCUCCCCGAAACGCUCCGGCGCUGUAGGAUGUGACUGCGGCCGAUUAGGUAGACGGUGGGGUAACGGCCCACCGUGCCGAUAAUCGGUACGGGUUGUGAGAGCAAGAACCCGGAGACGGAAUCUGAGACAAGAUUCCGGGCCCUACGGGGCGCAGCAGGCGCGAAACCUUUACACUGCACGCAAGUGCGAUAAGGGGACCCCAAGUGCGAGGGCAUAUAGUCCUCGCUUUUCUCGACUGUAAGGCGGUCGAGGAAUAAGAGCUGGGCAAGACCGGUGCCAGCCGCCGCGGUAAUACCGGCAGCUCAAGUGAUGACCGAUAUUAUUGGGCCUAAAGCGUCCGUAGCCGGCCAUGAAGGUUCAUCGGGAAAUCCGCCAGCUCAACUGGCGGGCGUCCGGUGAAAACCACAUGGCUUGGGACUGGAAGGCUCGAGGGGUACGUCCGGGGUAGGAGUGAAAUCCCGUAAUCCUGGACGGACCACCGAUGGCGAAAGCACCUCGAGAAGACGGAUCCGACGGUGAGGGACGAAAGCUAGGGUCUCGAACCGGAUUAGAUACCCGGGUAGUCCUAGCUGUAAACGAUGCUCGCUAGGUGUGGCACAGGCUACGAGCCUGUGCUGUGCCGUAGGGCAGCCGUGAAGCGAGCCGCCUUGAAAGUACGUCCGCAAGAUGAAACUUG